AUUUGGCUUAGUUAGGAGGCAGAGAUGGCAUCAGGGCUUUUGAGGGGACUCUUGAAUUUUUUUCCUUCUUUCUCAAUUGUCCCCCAAGCAGCCUUGUACAUUU